rnacentral:tRNA from 1 species
CCUGAUAGCUUAGUUGGUAAAGAAUCUGCCAGCAAUGCAGGAGACUCAGGUUCAAUUCCUGGGUCAGGA